rnacentral:sRNA from 14 species
UCACUCCCAAAGGUGCACACUUGAUCAAAUAGGAUGACCUUCCCUAAAUAGAAGAGGACCAUCUUCAUUCAAGAGGAUAUGAAUAGCUGUAGCCUCCCCACUAGAACCUCUAAACAAGCUCUCAAGUUCAUUAAUAGAACUAUUAAAUU